GUGCGCGCUGCGCUCUGGCGGGAGGGCGCUUCUCUCGGCUUUUUAUAGCUUCAUGGCGGACCACGUUGAGAACAACAACAGCCUGGUCCGGGGCCAGCGCCAACUUGUGCUUCUUGGAGCCCCUUCUCCGGCCGCUGGCUUCUCGGACCGCGCCUCUCCAGCGCCGCCGCGCCCGCAGCGGGGCGCCCCGGACAGGGCCUGAGCUCCCGGCGCAGUGGAGAGGCGACUUGCGUCCUGGAAGGGCUCAGCAAAGGCGAACGGAGAGGUGCACCCUAGGCUGCGGGAGCGCGAGAGGAGGGGGGCACCUCGUUUGGAGGCCAAUAGCGCGGGCCCCAGAGGAGGCCCCACGGCCGGGAGCUUGGCGGCCGGCAACCCAGAGAACGCCACGGGCACCCGAGCCUUGUCCCGGCCCGGGGGGCUCCAGGCCUGCCCGCAAGAGGAGCUUUAAUUUGUCCAAACUAACACAGGGCGCGCCCUCACGUGGUCGGCUGGGGCAACGUGAACUGCGCUAGGACAUCCUCGGGGGUUUUCCGCCCCAUCCAAAGGGGAUGGCGGAUGGGAGGCACUCUCCAGCUGCACCCCGGGUUCUGGUUGUGCCUCUGGGAGCCUAGGCACAACCCGGGGAAUGGAGGACUACGGCAGGACCUCUCUAGGGACACUGCCUCGCCGCUCCCCCCACCCUGUUGCCGCUGAUGUUCCCAGGGCCUCAUUUUGUAAUCCACAAGUAGCUGCCGCCGGUCCCCCCAAAGCCAAAUGGGGGCUCCAGGGUGGGACAGGGUGGGCGGGGGUGAGGCUGUGACACCCAGAGGAAUUCCUGUGAGAGGAUGGGGAAGGGAUUCGCUCUUAGUUCCUGGGUGCACCCCUCCCCCUCUCCCGUGCACAGGGAAAUGAUGGCGGGAACACAGCAAAGGAGACCAUGUCCUGGAGAGGGUCCCGGGCCCCACCCUCCCCGGGGGGGCUUGUGCAAGGCUGGCGGCCCGAUCUCUGCUGAUUCCAGUAUUGGGGGUGCAGAGAAGGCACAGGACAGUUUUUGUUGAAGCCGUUGCAGCCUCCACUUGGGGAAGCUGAGGCCAGGGGCACAGGACAACGUUGAGGGCCUGAGGCCUCCACCUUCUUGAAGAAGGACCAUGUGAAUUUCCUGACAGAGAACGGGGAUGGGUUUCUGAAAGCACCACCCAGCUGAGCCUGCCGAAACUGCACAGCUGUUUCCAGGCCAGGCUGGCUGCAUGGAGGACGUGAGAGGAACAGCCAGCUGUGUGUGCUGGGCCCACUGAUCAGGGUGCUCAGGACCAGGAGCCUUCUGAGGAUGUGCAGAGGGGACUCUGGGGAGAGGAACAUGGUGGCCACAGCUGGAGUGACCGCAGUGUACAGAGAUGGGAUGGGAGCAGGAAACCCAAAAGAGCCGGCCCUGGAACCAGGUGGAGGGGAGGCAGCCCGGCCAUGACCCAGAGCAGGACACCUGCUCCACUUCACCUUUUGCCAUGAGUAAAAGCUCCCUGAGGCCUCCCAAGAAGUUGAUGCCCUGUGCUUCCUGUACAGCUGCGGAACCGGAUGGCUUUCCGUGGCUUUGCUACAGCCACUCCUGGAAGUGCUGCCUGACUGAAUCCUCAGGGCACCCCGGCAGGAUGGACGUGGUGUACCCCCUACUUUACAGAUGGGGAAACUGAGGCUUGAGAGCUAAAGCAGCCCACCCAGCUCCCAGAGAUGAGGAGGCCGACUCUGGCAGGAGUCACUGUCGGUGCAUGGGCAUUUCUUCCUGUUACAGCCUGCGGCCCCUUCCAGGCCGGGAGGCCUUCUGCGCAGGGGCACCCUCCCUGCAUGGCCCGAUGACCUGCACUCCUGUUUCAUCUCCCCGUGUGGCACCUGGGGCAGCUUGGAGCCUACCAAGGUCUCAACAAGGAACCAGUAAAUACCAAAAAAAGGACAUCACGUCCCCUACAGCUAACUGCAAAUGGUGACCAUCCCAGCCCUUGUUUGAUAACACAAGCAAAGCAAUGGCUUCUUCAAGGACACCGAGAGGAACCUCACCUCUUUCUAAAACCUCCAACACAGGGCCAGGCGCGGUGGCUCAUGCGUGUAAUCCCAGCACUUUGGGAGGCCGAGGCAGGUGGAUCACGAGGUCAGGAGAUCGAGACCAUCCUGGCUAACACGGUGAAACCCCGUCUCUACUAAAAAUAAAAAAAAUUAGCCGGG